UAUUGUAUUAUUGGUGUAUUGAGUGUUGUAUUCUAUCCUCAUACAUUACCAGUGAUAGAUUCAUGCUCAGUAUAACCCCGAGGCUUGGUUAUACAGUACUUAUACAAGCCACGUGUGUUGUCAUGUGAUAUACCGGAGAGAAUAGUGAAGAGUCUGAGGUUUACAGCGGAACAAAACGAUCAAGCAAGAGAAUCGAUAAGGUUUUCAUAAAAGUGGAUGAUACCUCCAGGAACAAGUGGGUUAGGGGUGAAAUUUGAGAUAGAAACGUCCAAUUUUGAUUUGAUCGAUUAUGGUAGCUGUUAAGGUGUGUGAUCGUUUGGUGGAAGUGUAAGAGAGUGCUGAUGGUAAAUCCCUGUUAUCGACCAAGGAAUGAAUGGUGGGAAUAUAGCAUGUGGGGCUGCGACACUGAUGCAGUCGGCUGGCACACGUGGAGGCGGCAACACUGCUCCUGGCUGUCUCCUGUGAGUGACCACAUCGUUGUCACGGCUAUAGCGGGUACAAAAUUCCUCAACAUGACUUAGUAUACCCAGACGUGAGGACGACAGAGGUAGUGGUGGCGAUCAUCUAGUAAAACAAAGUCUUCAGAAGGAGGUAAACAACACGACGGCGCUCGAGUAAGAAUGUGAUACCCGGUGAAAAGAACAAUGGAAGGGAAAAACCACAAUAUUACACGUGUACAUAAACAAUACACCUGAAAUAAAUGUGACUGAAAUAAAAAAAAAUAAAGUCGUGUGGCUACUUAUGAGGUAUUGAAGAUUUUAUUAAUUACGUGAUGACAGUGAGUGAGGGAGACUUUUGUGUGUAGGUGUGUGCCUGUAACGGCUGUUGCUACUGCAUGAGACGUGGUGUAGGAUCCGGCCACCAUGAACUUCACGACGCUGCUGUGGACGUUGGUGUUGGUGGUGCUGACGGUGCUCAAGGUGGCCAUCACCAUCGUCAUCACCACCAUCAAGACCAUCCUGGUGAAGAACGAUUGGCUGUGGACGCAAGGUUGGAACAUGGUGGUGUCGUUUGGCCAGCGGGUGGUGGGCCUGGUCGUGGAGGGCGCCAACCUCGGCCUGGGCAACAUGAUGGCUACCCUCCUCCAUGACCUUACCGUCUUCCUCUCCGGGGCUUUUGGUCUGAUGGUGACGGUGUUGUCCAAGCUCAUGACGGCCACCUACUGGCUGGUGAAGUACCUGGUCAGUCGCUGUAAGGAGAUGCCCAACGUCAGCACCAAGAACAACGUCACCGAGGAAAAGGCGCUCACCAUUCACGACCUCAGCUAGUCGACCACCUCAGUAUGUAGACAUCUAAACGACGUCUCAGCUAACCGACAUCUUCAGUUAACCGGCGUCUAUAGCUAAACGACGUCUUUAGCUAAACGACGUCUUCAGCUAACUGGCGUCUUCAGCUAACCGGCGUCUUCAGCUAACCGGCGUCUUCAGCUAAACGACGUUUUCAGAUCGCUCACAACUGUAUGAUAGAUACUCAAACGUCAGCCAGAAAAUGACUACAUGUAACAGACAACUUUAGCGGGCUGCGGGCUUCAUAUUUCAUCGACGACCCCAGCUGAAUCGGUGACGUCAAAUUGUCCACAAACCUUUAACGCAUCGACCUUAAUUAAGAAGACGUCCUGUAGAAAAUGGUAACAGCAGCCCUCCUCACCUGCACACCCAGACACCCCCCACCAAGUUUAUUGCGUCAUUUACACUACGUACAUUGAUCUCACUUCACCCGACUACCUCAUAUGGAUGUUCUCAAACACAACGAUCACUUCCCUCCUUCGUCACGCGGAAGAUGUGAAUUAGGAAGCCAAAGUUUUUUUUACGGGAUAUAUUUAAUGUAAAUAAAUAAUCUUGUCACUCGACCCUCCACAGCCUUCCCGGUUGUGUUUUUAUUGUAUUUUAAGAUGUUAUUAUAAUUCUGGUAAUUUGUAAAUAACUAAUAUGAUGUUUUUAAGGAAAUUUAAUGUUUUUUGAGUGUCGUCGUUUCUGUAUUUUGAGCACUGAGUUUGAAAAAUUCUUCUGCAUUCAGAUAUUCAAAUUAUUAACAUAAUCGUCUUUGUAAUUGAAGACUUGAGAAAGCACGACCAGUAUUUUAGUCGGUAUUAUUAUUGUGGUUUAUCAAAGUGAUAACCUGAAGUGAACGAGCCGUCAUUGUUUACAGUCGGGUGUUGGAUCACAAUUCACGUAAUAAUGUUGAAUUCCGUCGAAGAAAAAACUGAAACUACUAAAGGCAAUAAAGACGUUUGUUUUGUUAUUGAGUGUUUCUUUGGAAGAUGUGUAUUGAGAGUCAGUAUUAACUGAAAAACACAAAUGUAUGUCAUCACAAGUUUCUUAAAUUUAACUGAAAUGUUCACUGCACAAGUUAUUGCUCUACCAGAACCAUCCUGUUGUUACAGCAUUAAUGAGAGGUAAAUGUUUUAUUACACUAGUCGAGCUUACACUAGCAUAUAUUUAUUUCAUACUCAUAAAGCCACGUUUGAACUUCCUGCCAAACAUAUUAACAGGAGUUAGUUUAGGUAGGUUUCUGUGCUUCCCCUUCAGUGCCUUCACUGUCUACUCUGCUGCGUCUCCCGCUGGUCCUCCUUGACUGACCAGCCUAGGUGACUAAUGCUUCUUGUCUUUGUCUCGUGUCCUUGAUGCUUCUUCUUCUUCUUCAGCGACAGGAAUUUAGUCAGUAGAGAAAAAUGUCUGUUCAAAGUUAGACAAUAAGGUGACGAUUUGACCAUUUAUAUGAGGGACGGUCGAGUCUUCAGUGUGAGGAACUAGUUGAGUGCGGUAACUGAGGCAGAUAUUAGCAUCGUUGUGGUGAGUGAGUUGAGUUACAGGCUGUGAGGUGACGACUGUGUUAGCUAGACAAUAAGACGAUGGUGCUUCUUGUGUACUGCUGGUGAUAACCGUGAUGGUGAGGAGACCCGCCCACAUGCUGGUGUUGUGUGUGUGUGUGUCUAGACCACGAUGAGAUAAACUUAAAACCUAAUAGGCUGUGAUACUUUAUCUUAGAGUCGUCACUAUUAUUAUAAAGGAGAAAAUAAUCUGCUUUUCAUCAACAGGGUAAAACUUAAAAUAAAGUUUGGAUUGCUUUUACAACAUCUGACAUGUUCUUUGCUUGUUGGAGAUAAAUGAGGGAAAAAAAUCAUGCACAAUUUGUUUAUUCUGUUUCAUAUACACGUGUUUUUCUUUCUGAAAUGUUGUAUGUGUCGUUUACAUUAAGAACAAACACUUGAUAGUUUAUUUAUUGUUCUAAACACAGAUAGCCUCGUCACCACCAUAUUACAUUACAUUAAUAACCAGUGUGUAAACAUUAGUCUGCUCUGAUGGACAAUUGUUAACCAAAAAAAUAUUUAUUAUUUAUGAUUCAACCACAUUUACUGUGUUCUGCCUCCUGGUGGUUCUUUGUUUAAGUGUCUGAUGGAUAUUUUGUUUUAAUAAAAUUCUUAUGAUGAA
rnacentral:lncRNA from 1 species